AACGCACAUUGCGCCCUCUGGUAUUCCGGGGGGCAUGCCUGUUCGAGCGUCAUUGCAACCCCUCAAGCGCAGCUUGUGUGUUGGGCCAUCGUCCCCCGUGGACGGGCCUAAAAUGCAGUGGCAGCACCGAGAUACCGGUGUCUGAGUGUAUGGGCAUUGAUCAUCACUCGAUAGACCCGAUCGGCGCUGGACGUCAAACCCCGAUUCCUUGCGAAUCCUCCAGUUUUGACCUCGGAUCAGGUAGGAAUACCCGCUGAACUUAA
rnacentral:misc_RNA from 1 species